UGCUCUGUGAUUACAGACUCUGGCUCCUCUUCCACCUCAGAAGAUGAGCGGCCCAAGAGAUCCCAUGUGAAGAAUGGUGAGGUAGGCAGGCGGCGGAGACAUUCUCCUUCUCGGAGUGCCUCUCCAUCACCUCGAAAGCGCCAAAAAGAGACUUCCCCUCGGAUGCAGAUGGGAAAGCGAUGGCAGUCGCCAGUGACUAAAAGGUUGGUUAGACACUGUGUUUGCAAAUUAGGGUUCCAUACCAAGUUUACCUAGUUCCCCGCUCACGGACACAUUAUGUCUGGAGGAAGCCUUAAGUUGCUUUGGUGUGUGUGUUUUUGUUUUUACCACGCCAGAUAAAUGGUGCAAGAUCUGUGUGAGGAGUUGGCUUUAGAUUAUUUUUUAAUCUGGGAAUUCU
rnacentral:lncRNA from 1 species